rnacentral:lncRNA from 1 species
GACAUGUUGACAUGCGAUAUUUUAGCUGGAAUGCCAGCAUCAGUUCAUGAAAUAUUCUGGAUGAAUAACAACGUCUCUUUAGCAGGUACUUGAGCCCCACUAAACAAUCACCUACACAGACAGAGAGGAAGGUGUGGUUUCUUUCAAUGUAUCCCUGCCCUUCAGGAGAUAGCAGGCUUUGGUGUGAGGAUGCUGCCAGGAAAUGCUGAGCCUCCAGGCCUCACCCCGUGAUGCUUCCCCUGCUCAGGUGUCUGCAUUAGGCAAUGAGCUCAGUAGCAGCAGAUGCAGCUCCCCAGGCCUCCCACACCAAUGCAGCGUUGCUCAAACCACGCACUUUGGGCAGAUUCACCCCACUUAUCUCCACGGGGCCUUCCCAGCCAGCAAACUGCUACGAGGGUGAGGAGAAGAAUAUGCAGCAGCUUCCUCAAUGUCAAGGUAUUAAGCACUGGUUGAUCCUCCUCUAUUCUCAAUUUCGUACAAGCCCGUAACUAUACAACAAUCACACUAAAAAAAAAAUCCACUCCAGCCACUUUCAAAGAGACCCAGAACACCACUGAGGAGGCGUGGCUCACCAAACAGACUGCCAGAUCCCACUGCCAGAUCCCACAGCUUUCUGAGACCCACAGCAGAUCCCGCAGCUGUGGCAGAGAGGGUGACGUAUGGCCCCCAGAAACUACCAUAGCGUCUGUCCUACAAAGCAAUAAAAUUGUAAACUACAAUUGUGAGAAACAUUUGAUUUCCUUAAAAAUCUCUUAUGUUGAAAA